ensembl:lncRNA
CCAUCCUUUGUGGAGUUCUUUAUUAGAAGAAGAGGAAAGGCAGCCUCAUCAAGCUGCUGGAUAGCAGCUGAUAAAUUCCUCAUGCGGAGGGAUCUAGAGAAGUUGAAGGAAUGUGCCGUCAGAAACCAUAUGGAAUUCAAGAAGAACAAUUGCAAAUCCUUUUUUCCAGCAUGGACUAUCCCUAUGUAAUUGUAAUGCCUCAGGAUUGACUAGACAGAUAGAAGUUCUGCUGAAAAGAACCAUGAAGUCAUGUGGUACUGAUGGACAGAAGGCUGAACAGGAAACAGGAUUACAUCCCAUUCGAAAAGAAGGCUAACAGUAUAAUGACUGAAACCACCAUGAGUGUAGCCAUUUAAUUAAGGGAAGUGAGUGAUUGCUUGGCCACAUCUGAAAUUCUACACCCAUAUGUGUCCUGCAUUUCCCUACACCAUCCCUGAACCUCCCAAACCAGGAAGAUUGUUAUAAACUUGAGGAAGUUAUUUGGAGGCCAGUAAGUUAGUCACAGAGCUGAGACCCAUGAGGGCUAUAAGGAGAGACUGAGAAAACAUGGUGUAUUUACUCUGGAGAAAAGAAUCUGGGUGCGGUGAUGGGGAGACCUAAUACCUUCCAGUAUCUGCAAGCUAUUCAGGGGAUAGAACUAAGCCUCUACAGUGGUGCACGGAUGAAAAAUGUGCAACUAUGAUAAUAAAUGGAAAGAAGUAAGGUUUCAGCUGGGCAUAAUGAGGAAAAAAAAAUCAAAUAACCAUUCAAUUUAAAUCAAUUUAAUCAAUUAAAAAUUGAUUAAUUAAUCUCUGGUACUGUUACCCAUGAAGGCUGUGGAAUAUCUGUUCUUGGAGGAUUUCAGGAUCCAAUUAGACGAAGUUCUAAAAAACCUCAUCUGAAUUCAGUAUUGAUUAUUGCUUUGAGAAGGUUGAAUUAGGUGAUCUGAGUCCCUUCCAAUUCAAAUGGUUCUGGUAUUAUGUUUUACAACACACAAAUAGAACAUGCAAAGUCAUAAUCAGUCUGUAUUCAUGUGGAGGAUGGCAAUAGGAACCAAUCUCUGUGAAAGAAGAUAUUUCAACAAUUUUCCAAC